rnacentral:rRNA from 1 species
GUGGGGAAUAUUGGACAAUGGGCGAAAGCCUGAUCCAGCCAUGCCGCGUGUGUGAAGAAGGUCUUCGGAUUGUAAAGCACUUUAAGUUGGGAGGAAGGGCAGUAAGUUAAUACCUUGCUGUUUUGACGUUACCGACAGAAUAAGCACCGGCUAACUUCGUGCCAGCAGCCGCGGUAAUACGUAGGGUGCAAGCGUUAAUCGGAAUUACUGGGCGUAAAGCGCGCGUAGGUGGUUUUGUAAGUUGGAGGUGAAAUCCCCGGGCUCAACCUGGGAACUGCCUCCAAAACUGCAUGACUAGAGUACGGUAGAGGGUAGUGGAAUUUCCUGUGUAGCGGUGAAAUGCGUAGAUAUAGGAAGGAACACCAGUGGCGAAGGCGACUACCUGGACUGAUACUGACACUGAGGUGCGAAAGCGUGGGGAGCAAACAGGAUUAGAUACCCCGGUAGUCC